rnacentral:lncRNA from 1 species
CAGACCCAAGCUGGAGGCAUUUCCUGGUGAAGAGCUGGUUGUGCCGGGGCCUUGCAGGGAAGACAGUCUGACCUCUUUCUUCUCUGUAGGGUGCUGUGGUGUGCUGCAGAUGAAGCAUGGCAGCAUCUGCUUGGCAUCUGGGGCAGCCUCAGGAAACUUCCAUUCCUGGUGGAAAGUGAAGAGGGAGCCAAGGCGCCACGUGGCCAGGGACAGGAAGAAGAGUGGAGGAGACGCUGCGCACUUUUAAACAACCAGAUCUCAUGGGAGCUCCCUCACUGUCGCAAGAACAGCGCCAAGAGGGACGGUGUUAAACCAUUCAUGAGAAAGUGUCCCUGUGAUCCAAUCACCUCCCACCAGGCUCCACCUCCAACACUGGGUCUUACAAUUUGACAUGAGAUUUGGAUGGGAACAAAGAUUCAAACCAUAGCCUACAUCAUGUCAAAUCGUGUGACAGAAUUCAAAGACUAAAUAUAUGAAGGAGUCUAAUUUUGCCCAGUCGGGGGGACUAGGGGUCAACUGACUAAAUACCUACAAUAAGAAUGACAAAUUAAAAAAAAAAUUAAAAAAAUAAACCUCAGGGAGAUAGCGGGGAAAUAGCGUCACACAAUUAAUGUCAUCUCAAAAAUCCAGGGUCAAUGUUGCCAGUCAGGGAUAAAAAGAAGGUCCUCAAUUUAAAAAGUGGUCAGGUGUGGCAAGAUUGCUUUAAAAGAUUGAAAAUGUCACCACUUCCUUUUCUCAAAAUGUUUGUUAUCAAAAUAUUAAUUUUAUAUUAAAUGUACAAAAUACUGCCAGCAUGUUUUACAAAUGUUUGGACCAAUACUUACUGCCAUCAGGAGCAUGUGAGAGUUAAAGUUUCCCUUUACCUUGAUAAUUCUUUUCAAUUUUUGUCUUUCUGGUGGUUGUGAAGUGAUAUUUCAUUUGAGUUGUAAUUUACAUUUCUCUGAUGUGCAAUAAUUUAGAAUAAAUACCUUUCAUGUUCUCAUUAGCUAUAUGAGUAUCUUACUAGAUGAAGAGUGAGUUCAGUUUUUUAGCUUAUUUCUAAUUGUAUAUGUUUUAUUUUUAUGGAUUUUUGGAAGGUCUUUAUCCAUUCUAGAUAUAAAUUUGAUAUUAUAAACUGCAAAAUAUUUUCUCCCAAUCAGUGGCUUGCCUUUUCACUCUAUCAAAUACUGUGUCUUUUCAUAAUUAGAAGUUUUUAUUUUUAGAUAAGUCUAAUUUAUCAAUUCAAUUUUUCCCUUUUUCAUAUUUUCUG